GUCAAGCCCCUGGCUAUAAAGUAUUAAAAAAAAAAACCAUAUAUAAACAUACAUAAUUAUUAAUUGUAACUGUAUUAUAUGUAAUUAACAGAUUUUUGCAAAGAUCGUUGUGUUAAAUUGAAAUACCUCUCGUUAAAAUGAGAUUGGAUUUUACUAAGAAAGGUCCUCUUAAUAAGGAAUUAAGGCAUAUUUUGAAUGUCGAUGAAAUAACGGAUGGUUUAAAAAACCCACCCGAAGAAAUUAUUAUUGAAAAUAAUCUUAACGCAUUACAAAUAAAUAAGACAGGGAACCAGAACUUAAAUUCUGCUGAUAUAAAUGAUUUGUCUCCAUUACAACUUGGUAACGCAAAAUUUGGUUGGCUAGACAAAUUAAAACUGGGUCUUUUAAUAAUACUUAUUAUUGUGUACAUUGGUUUCCUGAUCAAAAGUCUAAUAUAUGAAAUAAAGAGAAUCAGGGAUGUUCAGCACAUGAUAAAUAGGAUGAGGCCAAUAAUUGCAGCUCUCUAUAAGAUGGAUGCAAAUGUAGCUAGAGAAGUGCAGAAAGCUGUCAACUCUUAUAGUACUUACAAUCUGCCCUUACCAGAGGAAGACUACACUAAUUUUUAGAUAUGUCUUCUUACCUAUACUUGUGUAGAAAGAAACAAGUAAGAAUUCCAUCUUGGUAAAUGAUAAUCAUAGCUAAAUAUAUAACACAUUUACAAAUAUUGAUUAAUGUUAUUAUAAGAUGACAUUCUUGUUGAACAAGGUAGAGGGUAGGGAAUGCAAUCCCGAUCUCGAGAGAUCUCGUGUAAUUUUUCAAGAUCAACCCCCAAGCGUAACAAGACGGGAUUUCGUAGCAACUGCCUCUCACUCGGCACAAAGAAUAGAUCGUUUGUGAUUAAAUUUAUUACAAAUCAAUUGGCCCUUUGCAAGCUAUCUUAACGUUUUUAUCGACCAUUUUUAUUGAAAUUUAAAACACAGCAAUAUUGGGACUUUUUAAAGUUUUGGUUAGGGUAACACAAAUUUCUACGGGAACUUUAUUCGACUUGUCUAUGUCACUUGACUUGGACGGUCAGCAAUUUUAUGAAGGUAGAUUUGAAAUUAUUAUUUGUAUGUUUGUCAGUGUUUGUGUGUUUGUCACUAGUAUUGUAUAAAUUAAAAUAAAUCUAUUAUGAUAUUAAUAUCUACUAAAAAUUUAAAAGUUUUAAAAAUAGAUAAUCUAGGUCCUUUGUGACUUAAUAAAAAUGUAAAAUAUUACCGUAUAGUAACGGUUACGAGGCUAUAUAUAUAUAUUAUGUUUACACCAUUAAUUAUGUAUCAAAAGACUGAAUAUUUAUUUUCUAAUUAAUUUAUUUAGGUGGUAACUUGGGAUCUCUUCUUAGUUUUAACUUACGCUCAGUAGUGCCGAUUUGUUUUGACUCAUGUGAUAUGUAAGAAUGUAUUUAAAAAAAUUUUAAAAUUUUUUUUUCAGUGUAAAUGUCGUAAAUGCUACUCGUGUAAAUAAACCAUAAUCCAACUGA